UUUGAUUUCUUCUGCCUGAGCCUUUGUCAAAAUGUGCAAGGACGGGAUCUCGGUUUUGGCAUGUAUUACCACUUCCAUUUCGAAGCAUAAGAGGGCAAGGUGUUGCCCCAACUUAGAAAUGUAAUCUCCAAUGAAAUGCUCCCAGAGUUCAAUUGCAAAAUUAAAUGAAAAACUCUUGUCUUUUUUUUUCUUUUUUUUUUUUUUUUUUUUUUUUUUUUUUUUUCCUUUUUUUU
rnacentral:lncRNA from 1 species